rnacentral:lncRNA from 1 species
UCCGCCUCCUUCCAGAGAGCAGAUCCCGAACGCUCUCUGGUCUUCAGGCACCAUCUCGGCAUGAAUAACAAGUCUACGUGAGUCUACCGGCAGGAUCAGCGCUGCAGCCAUUCAGGGACGGGGGCAGCAGGGAACCUGCCCCGGCGGGCGUCACGUGGCCAAGGGCAGGCCGCARGGUGCGUGGCGUCGGUGUGCAUAUGCCUUUCCCUUUAGAGACCAUCGCCUGAACAAAAUUCCUCCCCGGCUGUGCUUUUUCCUUCCUGAAGGCUGUUGUCUGCUGGAGAUCUGCCUGUGGGUGGAGAGUGACUUCUUUCACUUCUGAUCAGCGGCAAAGGAGACGUUGCUGUUUUGCUUGUUAAAAGGUUUUGUGUUCUCUUGAGAGUUGCAAAAAAGCGUUACAAUCCUCAUAUGCAAAUUCUAUAAGCUUUACUGUUCUCCUCAGGUGUGCAUGCCAAGUUUUCAUUAUGAAGGCUCCCUGCUGUGAAAAAAAGGAGCUGACCUGGAGGAGGAAGGAGACAUUGAUAGUAGAUUUACUCCUGGAGCCCCACAGCUUUAUACCUACAAACUGGCUGAGUCCUGAGAUGAGUGCUGCUUUUUAA